rnacentral:rRNA from 1 species
GCUGUUCAUCAAGCGGAGGAAAAGAAACCAACCGCGAUGGCCUCCGUAGCGGCGAGUGAGCGGCAAAAGCUCAAAUUUGAAAUCUGGUACUCAUUCGGUGUCCGAGUUGUAAUUUGGAGAGGGCAACUUUGGGGCCGGCUCCUUGUCUAUGUUCCUUGGAACAGGACGUCAUAGAGGGUGAGAAUCCCGUGUGGCGAGGAGUGCGGUUCUUUGUAAAGUGCCUUCGAAGAGUCGAGUUGUUUGGGAAUGCAGCUCUAAGUGGGUGGUAAAUUCCAUCUAAAGCUAAAUAUUGGCGAGAGACCGAUAGCGAACAAGUACAGUGAUGGAAAGAUGAAAAGAACUUUGAAAAGAGAGUGAAAAAGUACGUGAAAUUGUUGAAAGGGAAGGGCUUUUGAUCAGACUUGGUGUUUUGUGCCCUCUGCUCCUUGUGGGGGCGGGAAUCUCUUAUUUCACUGGGCCCGCUUCGGUUGUGGUGACAAGAUAAAUCCAUAGGAAUGUUGCUUGCCUCGUGUGUUAUUAUCGCCGGUGAGACUGCCGGCCUCUGGGACUGACGACUGCAAUGUACUUCAAGGAUGCUGGCAUAAUGGUUAUAUGCCGCCCGUCUUGAAACACCAACCAACA